rnacentral:rRNA from 1 species
UACAGAGGGUGCGAGCGUUGUUCGGAAUUAUUGGGCGUAAAGGGCGCGUAGGCGGUGCGGUAAGUCACCUGUGAAAUCUCCUGGCUCAACUGGGAGCUUGCAGGCGAAACUGCCGUGCUGGAGUGUGGGAGAGGUGCGUGGAAUUCCCGGUGUAGCGGUGAAAUGCGUAGAUAUCAGGAGGAACACCGGUGGCGAAGGCGGAUCUCUGGGCCUUACCUGACGCUGAGGCGCGAAAGCUAGGGGAGCGAACAGG